rnacentral:rRNA from 1 species
AUUGAACGCUGGCGGCAGGCCUAACACAUGCAAGUCGAGCGGAUGAAGGGAGCUUGCUCCUGGAUUCAGCGGCGGACGGGUGAGUAAUGCCUAGGAAUCUGCCUGGUAGUGGGGGAUAACGUCCGGAAACGGGCGCUAAUACCGCAUACGUCCUGAGGGAGAAAGUGGGGGAUCUUCGGACCUCACGCUAUCAGAUGAGCCUAGGUCGGAUUAGCUAGUUGGUGGGGUAAAGGCCUACCAAGGCGACGAUCCGUAACUGGUCUGAGAGGAUGAUCAGUCACACUGGAACUGAGACACGGUCCAGACUCCUACGGGAGGCAGCAGUGGGGAAUAUUGGACAAUGGGCGAAAGCCUGAUCCAGCUAUGCCGCGUGUGUGAAGAAGGUCUUCGGAUUGUAAAGCACUUUAAGUUGGGAGGAAGGGCAGUAAGUUAAUACCUUGCUGUUUUGACGUUACCAACAGAAUAAGCACCGGCUAACUUCGU